GAGGGUAUAGAUCAGUGGUAGAGCACAUGCUUAGUGUGCACAAAGUCCUGGGUUCAAUCCCCAGCACCUCCA
rnacentral:tRNA from 1 species